AUUUUCUUCAACCAGCACACGCUCAGCACAGGCCUGUCACCAUCCCGGUGACCUGCGGCAGGGGAACAGUGACCUUUGACCUUAUAUCGCUGUUAAUUCCCAGCUGCAGCGGCAUAAACGCUCGUUCCUACAACCGACAGGUUAUCUAUCAGCGACAGAACACAUUAAAGGCACGGGAUCAGUUAAAAGCACCCAGCGUGCGGACACACACGCAGCAGGUGAGCAGCCAGCUGUCAUAUCCUCACGCCUAGUCCAGGGAACAUCGCUCUGACAUUUCAGGAGCGGCAGAGACAGCCGAGCGGAGCUGUGUGAAAUGGCGGCGAGCUCCUCCGGUGUGAAACCCUCGGAGGGCCGUGGAGGAGAGAGAUCUUCGGGCGCCCCUCACCGGUUCACUGGCACCUGCUCUUUGCCUGUUCACGUUUGUUUACAAAACGUAAACACGGUAGCAUUAGCAUUACGCCGUUUCAUUGGUUUAAUGGCAGCUAAAAAUAAUCCUGGACUGAUUACAAAUCAUUCUCCAAAAAAAGAUUUUCUACUUUAACACAAUUUACAGCCGUUCAAUCACUCUUUGUUUGUUUAUGAGAUUUUGAAGUGUUUACAGGCAGAGACUAAUGACUAAAAGUCAGGCUGUAAACACGCUCUUAAUAAAACUAGCCCUGUGUAGCAGUGAGUAAUCACGGCUGAUCCUGCCAGUUUGCUAGUGCGAGAGUGUGUGUUUGUGAUCGUGUGUGUGUGUGUGUGUGUGUGUGUACUUUGCCCGUGUGGGAAAUGAUUAACAUCCAGUGACUCACAGCCCCCAACAAUAACACGUAAGAGGUAAGACAACACACACAAGUGAGGUAAACGCACAAACACGCUAAAUCUAGGCCGUGCAACACACUGCCCGCAUGCACCUCAUCCUCCUGCGAGAGCUAAAAACCACAGCGCAGGAUGACAUGAAAGCUGUUUCUGCUCAAAUAUAAGAGAGUUAACAAGCGAAGGUCUGCAUCUGAACAAACUCGAGCGGAAAUCCGACCGUCUAUGUCUCUCUUGGGAGAGUGAUUGUCCUUAGGGAACUCUUGCUCAAACAGCGGACUGUGCGACUCGGUUGUGAAGUUUAUCGAGUUUAUUUCGUUACAAAACAACCGACUGAGGGAGUGACACUUCAACCGGUAACCUUUAACCUACAUGCAUGUCCGUCAAAUCAGAUUCAGCCAUUUCUGAAUAACAGGAUCACUCUUUUCUUGUACUUUAGUCGUGUUUAUUAGCCGUUGCUAACACACAUGGGAACAUUUUUAAGGCUCAGCUUCCUCUUCUGUGGGCUUUUAAGACCCUCGUCACGUGGCUUGGGGCAAACUACAGAAGCACUGGUACUCCUGACAUCCCUAAGGUGAACAACAAACACAUUUUACUACGCUACUUUUCCAUUGUUUGUCUAUGUAAGCACUUGCUACAUGAGCAUCUUUGACCAUUGCUCUCGCAUCUUUUUUUUAUUAUUAUUCAACUGCUUGCGUCUCACAUUUUUAGAUGAAAAUGUGAAAAUGGCCCCUAAAGGUGCAACAGGUUCAGGAAAUGCAAGCUGAUAAAUGCUUAUGCGCACGUAAGCAUUUAUCAGCUUGCAUUUCCUGAACCUGUUGCACCUUUAUGGGCCAUUUUCACAUUUUUCACAGCUAGGCCAUGGCUCUGACAAUGUUUCUCUCUUUCAAAGAAUCACUCAAAUCGCCUUUAGAGCCAAAUACAAACCGGCAGGGAAAAUCAGGCCGAGGUCAAUAUAAUCUAAAAAUGAUUUUACACUGAGCUUUAUCUGAAGGGAGAAACAGUGAGAGACAGACAAUUCAAAAGAAUCAGACAGAGUUCCCUCUGAUUACUCCUCAUCUCUCCUUCUAUAUACUCUUUCCCUUUGUCCUCCCCCUCUCAUCUGAUCAUUUCAUCCAAUCAAGGUCCCUCACAGCUGCCACACACAGAUGUGGACGCUGAACCCAAUUCAAGCUUGAGAGAGAAAGAGAGAAAACGAGUGAAUAAACCUUGAAGCAGCUGUGUGUGACAAUGGAAACAACAAAUAAAAUGCUCACACGCUCUUUAAAAAUCACAUCGGUCGCUCCUCACACACAUACAGUGUUCACAUUGUGUCCAUCUACACAGUUUUGAUAAGCUCCUCUCUGUGAGAUAGCAAGACACUUAGAAUUCAGUUUGAGGAGUAACAGACAUUCUCUGCUGUGGACUGCACCGCAAACACUUACUAUUGGCCUGUUUUAUCUGUUUCCAAAUGAAUGAAUCCAAUCUAAACUGAAUCCUGCCCCAAACAAAUCCUGCUCACAAUCAACCCUUGGCGAUGUGAGGUGACUAUGAGGAGCUCUAAACCCUGGCCUUGUCAAACAAACAACCAGCCAUAUUAGGAGUGGCUUUCUUAUGUGCUCAACAUAUGACACAAUGCAACCAUUUAACAUACGUUCAAAGCAACUAAAGGCGCUUUCACAUGACGAGCAUCAGGACAUCCAUCCACUCUGCCCUCCUCAUGAAAAGUGUAGCCUUGCUGAUAAUGUUCCAGUUUAAAUCCAUAUUAAAAGACGCAUCUCUUUAGCCAAGCAUUCACAUAAUGCAUCUCAUAUCAGAUCAAUUGCACACGACAUCUUUGCUUAACGUUAUGAACAGCAGCUAUGCUAAUUAUUCUCCAUUUGCUUUUCUGUU